GACAGGCGGUGAUAAGGAAGUGAUGUGGCUGGGCUUAGAGCCAAUGAGAAGGCAGAACAGGAAGGCAAUAAAAACACAGGUUAGAAGAGAAGAAGCUCUCUCUGGGAAAGCUACGACGAGGUGGUGAUGAGGAGAUCUGACAGAUAGAGACACAUCAGCAGCCAUGCCAACUGGCUGCCAGCUUGGACAUAUGUACAGAGCAGAGAGCAUACCAAAGUUCCCUACGCAGAGAGCCAAGAGCCCACUGACAUUCGCCAAUGACUGAAGAACAUGUCAAUAUCGCUACAGCGUAGUCAAGUGUGGAGUGAGCCAUGUUAAAGGUUCUGGAGAGGAGAAGAUGACCACCUGGGUAGGGCACCACUCUGCUAUAUAUAUGUGCCUCAUUUGGCAUCCACUUUGCAUGUCUGCUGCUGGGCUUCCAUCUGUCGACUCUCAGCAUAAUGUCAGAGAUAAAAACUGAAGACUCCAUGGCUUCCAAUGCAUUUUUCUGCUGGCUGCCUGAUGGCUGUCUGGGGACAUAAAAUUUAGAAAGCAAUCCUUGCUGACGGACCCUCAUACGGGUCUGUACAUUUUAAUUUUAACUCUGCAGAAUGUCUAUUUCGUCUAAUCAACGUACAAAUGCAAGAAAAGCCUUGCAAAUUUACAGGUACAAUCUUAGAAGGACACAGUCCAUGACGUAUCAGAGUUAAAUUGCAUAUAAGUUUGUGCUAAA